AGUCCUUCGCCGUCCCUCGCCGUCCUUCGCCAUCGCACGCCACCGCACCCCAUCUCUCGAAAUCUGCAGACAUCUUGAUUUUUCCCACGCUGUCUGUCAGGUCUCCGCCGCCACUCGACGCCAGGGCGCCGGGUGAGUCCACAGCAGGGCGCAUGGUCGGCUCCACUCUCACCAUCGGGGGAAACUGAGGCCCCGGGGAAGGCGGCCAGAGAGGUCAGGCCCUGUCCUUGGUGCAGUGUCUCGUCCUCUUUGCCGGAGUGAGCCCCCCAGGAUUCGCGUGUCCUCGGGAAAGACACUGGCAGGAGUGUCACAUGACUGCCGCCCCAUGUGUGUGAGAGGCGUCCUCUGGGAGAGCAUGGAUCCUGAGGUCCCAGGAUUGUCAGCUGACCUCUGUCCUGUGUGCCCAGUGGCCCCAGGUGACGUGUCUUCAAGAAGAGGCUGAGCUGCGGUGCUUGUAAGGUCUCAGCCUUAGAUCCAAGGACAGUCCAAGGAAGUCCUAAGACCAUGGAGUUGGUGAUCUGGGAUCUGGGUUUGCUGAUAUUUCUCACCGUGAAUCUCUUGGUGGUGUUUGUGGGCACGAGAGGGGCAGAGAAUGGAGAGUGAGGCUACCACAUGAAGCGUCACCAGAGCUGCUCCCUGCUGCCUGCUCAGAGCACCCCGGAUCCACUGUUCAAUCUGCACAAGAUUCGGGGUCCAGACAUGGGAGACUUCAGCUGCCUCAGAGGACCGUGGACAGGGAAGGCCAGCCUCGCAUCCCUCUGUCCAUGCCUGGAAUGACUUUAAUAACCAAGAGUUUUAUUUUUGAAUUUGUAGCUGUCGUUCACUUUUUACCCACCCAUUCAAUAAACCUUACAGAAUUGCUCCA
rnacentral:lncRNA from 1 species